GGAGAAGUACCCAAGAGGUCGAAGGGACUCCCCCGCUAAGGGAGCAGGCGUGUAAAAGCGCGCGAGGGUUCGAAUCCCUCCUUCUCCGCCA
rnacentral:tRNA from 1 species